AUUCCAGCUCCAGUAGCGUAUAUUAAAGUUGUUGCAGUUAAAAAGCUCGUAGUUGGAUUUCUGGUUUCACAGAACUGGCCUACUUCCUCAAGGUCGUGUGCGCCGUGUUUUGUGUACCAUCCUUCUAGAAAUUGUGUUCCAUCCCUUCACUGGGAUAGAUCCGAGAUCUAGAUCUUUUACUUUGAAGGAAUUAGAGUGUUCAAAGCAGGCUCGCGCUGUGAAUACAUUAGCAUGGAAUAAUAAUUUAGGACUUGGUAUCCUAUUUUGUUGGUUUUCAGGAUCUAAGUAAUGAUUGAUAGGGAUAGUUGGGGGUGCUAGUAUUUUGCGGCCAGAGGUGAAAUUCUGUGAUUCGCGAAAGACUAACUUAUGCGAAAGCAUUCACCAAGGAUGUCUUCAUUG
rnacentral:rRNA from 1 species